rnacentral:rRNA from 1 species
UACGUAGGGGGCUAGCGUUGUCCGGAAUCAUUGGGCGUAAAGCGCGUGUAGGCGGCUCGAUAAGUCUGUUGUGAAAGCCCAGGCUCAACCCUGGAACGCCGAUGGAUACUGUCGAGCUAGAGUCCGGAAGAGGCGAGUGGAAUUCCUGGUGUAGCGGUGAAAUGCGCAGAUAUCAGGAGGAACACCAAUGGCGAAGGCAGCUCGCUGGGACGGUACUGACGCUGAGACGCGAAAGCGUGGGGAGCAAACAGG